rnacentral:rRNA from 1 species
UUUAAAUUUAGAGUUUGAUCCUGGCUCAGGACGAACGCUGGCGGCGUGCUUAACACAUGCAAGUCGAGCGAUGAAACUUCCUUCGGGAAGCGGAUUAGCGGCGGACGGGUGAGUAACACGUGGGUAACCUGCCUCAAAGUGGGGGAUAGCCUUCCGAAAGGAAGAUUAAUACCGCAUAAUAUAAGAGAAUCGCAUGAUUUUCUUAUCAAAGAUUUAUUGCUUUGAGAUGGACCCGCGGCGCAUUAGCUAGUUGGUAAGGUAACGGCUUACCAAGGCAACGAUGCGUAGCCGACCUGAGAGGGUGAUCGGCC